AUUGAACGCUGGCGGCAUGCUUUACACAUGCAAGUCGAACGGUAACAGGCCUUCGGGUGCUGACGAGUGGCGAACGGGUGAGUAAUGCAUCGGAACGUACCCAGAGGUGGGGGAUAACGCAGCGAAAGCUGUGCUAAUACCGCAUGUGAUCUGAGGAUGAAAGCGGGGGACCGAGCAGCAAUGUUUGGCCUCGCGCCUUUGGAGCGGCCGAUGUCGGAUUAGCUAGUUGGUGGGGUAAAGGCCUACCAAGGCGACGAUCCGUAGCUGGUCUGAGAGGACGACCAGCCACACUGGGACUGAGACACGGCCCAGACUCCUACGGGAGGCAGCAGUGGGGAAUUUUGGACAAAGGGCGCAAGCCUGAUCCAGCAAUGCCGCGUGCGGGAAGAAGGGCUUCGGGUUGUAAACCGCUUUUGGCAGGAACGAAACGGUGUCCGCUAAUACCGGGCGCUAAUGACGGUACCUGCAGAAUAAGCACCGGCUAACUACGUG
rnacentral:rRNA from 1 species